CCAUAGCUAUUUUUUUUUGUUUUACUUGUUUGUCAAAAGGAUGAUUAUAUUUUUACUGUUGUUGAAGAACGUACAUUUAGAGUGUAAUAAUAAUAAUAAUAAGAAGAAGAAGAAGAUGAUGCAGCAACUAGCAAGUCAUUAAAUGCUUUUUGAAUCCAGCGGCUCGUAAUUAAAUAACUUGAUCUAUAAAUGCUAUUAAUUUAUAGAUCCAGAAUAUUACAUUUCUGUAUUAUCUCACCCCUUAUCAAAUCUGCUGUUUGCCAAUCGACGCCGCUUGGAGAAGAUUAAGGUUCUUGAGAUAAACGUAAUCUCUGCGCAAGGUCUAUAUCCGCCGUCUGCCAAUCGACGCCGCAUGCAGACGUACGCAGUUGUUUCCAUCGAUUCCUCCACUAAGCUCCGCACCCGAAUCGAUCUUGAUGGUUGCGAGGACCCGAUUUGGAGUGACAAGUUUCUCUUCAAAGUCAUUCUUGAAUUUCUCUCCGUCGAAACAAGCAGUGUUUCUGUCGAAAUCUUUGCCGUCGGCUGCCUCCGUGAUAAACUCAUCGGCACCGUCCGUUUACUCAUCAGCAACAUGCCACUAUUUUUCCCAGGAAAUGAGAACUCCUUCGUUCGUCGCUCUGCAGAUUCGCCGUCCUUCUGGAAGAUUCCAAGGGUUGCUUAACAUCGGUGCUAUUAUCAACGACGCUUCUGAUUUCGCGUCCUUAGAUGGAGUAUCGGCGAUUUCGUGCCUACAAAGAGUAAUCUGAUUUCCAGGUGGCCCUUUGGCUUUGCUUGAAGCUCUGGCAUGCCUCAGUCAAGAACGUUUCAGCCAUGUAAAAUUUUUGUGAUGCUCAUGAUUUAAUUUUUUUUAUGCCCUAUGAUAUUUAGAAUAUAGUUUAUAAACUAAUUUUUAUUCUAAAA